rnacentral:rRNA from 1 species
AUUGAACGCUGGCGGCGUGCUUAACACAUGCAAGUCGUGCGGUAACAGGCGUAGCAAUACGUGCUGACGAGCGGCGAACGGGUGCGUAAUACAUGGGAAUCUGCCUUUUAGUGGGGAAUAACCCGGCGAAAGCCGGGCUAAUGCCGCAUAAGAUCUUCGGAUGAAAGCGGGGAUCGUAAGACCGUCGCGCUGAUAGAUGAGCCCAUGCCGGAUUAGCUAGUUGGNGAGGUAACGGCGUCACCAAGGCGACGAUCCGUAGCUGGUCUGAGAGGACGGCCA